rnacentral:lncRNA from 1 species
CGUCCCGUCCCGUCCCGGCUCCUCCCGCCUGAUCGCGGCUUUUCCGUGCCCGUCUCCGUCUCGGCUCGUCCCGCUUGAGCAGGAUCAGGCACAAAUCCUGCCCCAGACUGGAAUAAUUCCACCCACCUGAGUGUGGAAUUUGGGAUGGGAAAAGAGGAGGAAGAUGCUUCCUGGUGGGAUUACAGAGGAAUCCUGUGCAGGAAAAAAAAGGGAAAAGGAGGCACAUCCCGCAGCCAGGUUCACCCUGUUCAUCACGGGCACACCGAGCUGGCUGGUUUCCCCCAAUCCUUUACAAACCCCAGAAUUCUGCCA